ensembl:lncRNA
GUUGUUACUUUUCAAGGCACGGAGCAGAUGGGGAUGGGGCAAAAUGCAGCCAUCAGUGGAGCAGAUAUGUAUGCACAACUCCUGUCCCAGCUACCCCAUAUCACAACCAAGAAGAACCCUGGGCCAUAGUCAAGCUAGCCUGCAAAGAAAAUUCCAGAAAUAUUUUUUUGGUGUUUAUGGUUUUUAAAUCCUUACCAUAUAACCAUCAGUCCUCUUCAUUGGGGUCAGAAUCAUCUAUGGCACCUGCUGGGGAGUUCAUGAAGGUUUAUUUGAAGACAUUAGACAUCUGCCGGGUUGGAAGACACAGCUGCCUGUAGAAAAAAAUCACAAGAGUCAGGUGCCAGCCAUAGAGGUAGGUCCAACUCACUCCAAGUGACUGCUGUCCCAGGAGCCAUCAAUUGUUGGCUGCUGCUCCGACUCAAAGUUAAAUGAGUAUGUCAUCUGUAUUGUCCCACCAUGAGCCAGAUACCCCUGAGGACCUAUCUGCAAUGAGCCCUAAUUGAAUGAAGAUUGAUGGGAACAGAAUUUCCAAGGCCAUUUACAGAUGAAGGUGCCAGCUUCCUAAGCCAUGACUGCCAUGAACUGCAAGAGCUAAUAUUCAUCCCUCAAGCCCUCCCUGCCAUCACCAUGAAGGAGCUUCGUCAUUCUUCUCUGGUGACCCUGAACAGCAUUUCAGCUGGCCUCCUAAGGCAGAAGGUUAAAGAAGUCAGACGGAAGUCUCCCAUCACUGUCGAGUUCUACUGGAGCUGUUUCCCCCACCUAAUCGUCUCCCAAGCCUGUCUGCUCAGUUCAAGCCCCUGUUACCACAUAGAAAAAUCAUCAGUCUCAUCACUUCACUGUAUGCCUGAAACUCUGCAAAUCAACUCUCUGCUGUGCUGUGCUAAGUCGCUUCAGUUGUGUCUGACUCUGUGUGACCCUAAGGACUGUACCCUACCUGGCUCCUCUGUCCAUGGGAUUCUCCAGGAAAGAAUAUUGGAGUGGAUUGCCACGCUCUCUUCCAAGGGAUCUUCCCAAUCCAGGGAUCGAACCCUGGUUUCCUGCAUUGCAGGCAGAUUCUUUACCAUCUAAGCCACGAGGGAAGCCCCAAUAAUCAACUCUACUUCAAUUUUUUAAAAAUGCAUAAUAACCUGUAAUGGAAAAGAAUCUGAUAAAGAAUACAGCCUAUGAAAUCCUCUCUUUUGAACACAAAUAGUACUGGAUCAGGAAAAAUUCACGUAAAAGAAGCUCUUCCCACCAAAUAUUCCCACAUUCCUGUCAUGACAUCUGUGGAGAUGAAGAAGAAUAAAAAUG